rnacentral:rRNA from 1 species
GACGAACGCUGGCGGCGUGCCUAAUACAUGCAAGUAGAACGCUGAAGGAGGAGCUUGCUUCUCCGGAUGAGUUGCGAACGGGUGAGUAACGCGUAGGUAACCUGCCUGGUAGCGGGGGAUAACUAUUGGAAACGAUAGCUAAUACCGCAUAAGAGUAGAUGUUGCAUGACAUUUGCUUAAAAGGUGCAAUUGCAUCACUACCAGAUGGACCUGCGUUGUAUUAGCUAGUUGGUGGGGUAACAGCUCACCAAGGCGACGAUACAUAGCCGACCUGAGAGGGUGAUCGGCCAUCACUGGGACUGAGACACGGCCCAGACUCCUACGGGAGGCAGCAGUAGGGAAUCUUCGGCAAUGGACGGAAGUCUGACCGAGCAACGCCGCGUGAGUGAAGAAGGUUUUCGGAUCAGUAAA